rnacentral:rRNA from 1 species
UGGGGAAUCUUCCGCAAUGGACGAAAGUCUGACGGAGCAACGCCGCGUGAGUGAAGAAGGUUUUCGGAUCGUAAAACUCUGUCUUUUGGGGCGAACGUGAGUAUGGUGAACAAUCAUAGUCAGUGACGGUACCAAAGGAGGAAGCCACGGCUAACUACGUGCCAGCAGCCGCGGUAAUACGUAGGUGGCAAGCGUUGUCCGGAAUUAUUGGGCGUAAAGAGCGCGUAGGCGGGAUAGUCAGUCUGUUGUAAAGUGCGGGGCUCAACCCCGUGAUGGCAAUGGAAACAGCUAUUCUUGAGUGCAGGAGAGGAAAGUGGAAUUCCCAGUGUAGCGGUGAAAUGCGUAGAUAUUGGGAGGAACACCAGUGGCGAAGGCGACUUUCUGGACUGUGUCUGACGCUGAGGCGCGAAAGCCAGGGGGAGCGAACGGGAUUAGAUACCCCGGUAGUCCUGGCCGUAAACGAUGGGUACUAGGUGUGGGAGGUAUCGACCCCCUUCCGUGCCGGAGUUAACGCAAUAAGUACCCCGCCUGGGGAGUACGGUCGCAAGACUGAAACUCAAAGGAAUUGACGGGGGUCAUAGCUGUUUCCU